AUCAGAACGCUUCUUCUCUAAAGAUUUGUAAAGUUCCUGUUCCUCUUUAACCUUUUCAGCAAAAUUCGAAUGAAGUUUCUCCAAAUCUUCAGAACUUUCGUCAGUUAUAGUCAUUUGACUUUUAAGGUCGUUGAUAGUAGUAUUAAUAAUGUCACUUUGACUUUCCAAAUGUCUGAUUGUAAUCAUUUGUUGUUCAUAUUCUUCAGUGGAUUUGAAAAGCUCAUCUUGUAGCCUAGCCGUUUCAGUUAUCUCUUGGUCAAGCUCUUCGACUUUAGAUCGGAUACAGGAUAUACGCUUCAAAGAUUCAUGUACCCUCAAUUCAAUUUUCUCGGCUCUUUCUUUGUCUGAGCGGUAAUGUGUCAAUGUCGCUUGAUCGACCUUCACUUGAGUUUCCUGGUCGCGC